rnacentral:rRNA from 1 species
GACGAACGCUGGCGGCGUGCCUAACACAUGCAAGUCGAACGGGAUCGGGGGCAACUCCGGUUCAGUGGCGGACGGGUGCGUAACACGUGAGGAACAUGACUUUCGGCGGGGGAGUAGACCGGCCCGAACCGGACCGGGUAACGUAACCGCCGUACGACCCACGUGGAGACCUCUCCGCUGGGUGGAAAGACGAGCAAUGCACCGGAAGAGUGCCUCGCGGCCUAUCAGCUAGUUGGUGGGGUAAC